CUUGUGGCUUCACACCCUUCCUCUCAUACUAGCUGAACAAAGAAAAGAAGUGAGAACGGAUAAACCAUGCAUUACAAAUGGCGGCCAGACGCCAUGUUCUUCCAUUGUCUUUAUAGUGACACUUUUUGUAUACAUGUGUCAACGUUGGUGUGUCACGUGAGAUGGGUUUAAUUUUUAUUAUCACUUGAAAUGUUUCGGUGAGAACAUCAUUAUUUUUGUUUCAUAACACAUCAGAAUUACCAAAUGGGCUAUGAUUAAUAAAACAAUGUGCUCUA